GAUGAACGCUGGCGGCGUGCCUAAUACAUGCAAGUCGAGCGAACAGACGAGGAGCUUGCUCCUCUGACGUUAGCGGCGGACGGGUGAGUAACACGUGGAUAACCUACCUAUAAGACUGGGAUAACUUCGGGAAACCGGAGCUAAUACCGGAUAAUAUAUUGAACCGCAUGGUUCAAUAGUGAAAGACGGUUUUGCUGUCACUUAUAGAUGGAUCCGCGCCGCAUUAGCUAGUUGGUAAGGUAACAGCUUACCAAGGCAACGAUGCGUAGCCGACCUGAGAGGGUGAUCGGCCACACUGGAACUGAGACACGGUCCAGACUCCUACGGGAGGCAGCAGUAGGGAAUCUUCCGCAAUGGGCGAAAGCCUGACGGAGCAACGCCGCGUGAGUGAUGAAGGUCUUCGGAUCGUAAAACUCUGUUACUAGGGAAGAACAAAUGUGUUAGUAACUAUGCACGUCUUGACGGUACCUAAUCAGAAAGCCACGGCUAACUACGUG
rnacentral:rRNA from 1 species